rnacentral:rRNA from 1 species
AGAGUUUGAUCAUGGCUCAGAGCGAACGCUGGCGGCAGGCUUAACACAUGCAAGUCGAGCGGGCGUAGCAAUACGUCAGCGGCAGACGGGUGAGUAACGCGUGGGAACGUACCUUUUGGUUCGGAACAACACAGGGAAACUUGUGCUAAUACCGGAUAAGCCCUUACGGGGAAAGAUUUAUCGCCGAAAGAUCGGCCCGCGUCUGAUUAGCUAGUUGGUGAGGUAACGGCUCACCAAGGCGACGAUCAGUAGCUGGUCUGAGAGGAUGAUCAGCCACAUUGGGACUGAGACACGGCCCAAACUCCUACGGGAGGCAGCAGUGGGGAAUAUUGGACAAUGGGCGCAAGCCUGAUCCAGCCAUGCCGCGUGAGUGAUGAAGGCCCUAGGGUUGUAAAGCUCUUUUGUGCGGGAAGAUAAUGACGGUACCGCAAGAAUAAGCCCCGGCUAACUUCGUGCCAGCAGCCGCGGUAAUACGAAGGGGGCUAGCGUUGCUCGGAAUCACUGGGCGUAAAGGGUGCGUAGGCGGGUCUUUAAGUCAGGGGUGAAAUCCUGGAGCUCAACUCCAGAACUGCCUUUGAUACUGAGGAUCUUGAGUUCGGGAGAGGUGAGUGGAACUGCGAGUGUAGAGGUGAAAUUCGUAGAUAUUCGCAAGAACACCAGUGGCGAAGGCGGCUCACUGGCCCGAUACUGACGCUGAGGCACGAAAGCGUGGGGAGCAAACAGGAUUAGAUACCCUAGUAGUCC